AAAAAGGUAAGCUAAAUAUAAGCUAGUGGGUUCAUACCCCAUUAAUAGGAAAACCUCCUUUUUA
rnacentral:tRNA from 1 species